GAACUUUUGGUUAUUUACCCAUUCUUUUAUUCAAUAUGGUUAUGAAUAUUUCUUGUGAAGUUCUGUUAUCUCAGCGCGAUCAGAUCUUUUACCUGUUUGUCACCACCUCUUUUGAGUAUUAACUUCCCUAAUUCAUACUGAAUUACAGUGUUUUUCAAAUUAGAAUGAGUGUUAUGCAUGAUUAAUAGGACUUAUGUUUCAA
rnacentral:misc_RNA from 1 species